rnacentral:rRNA from 1 species
GGCGGGACUGCCGGCGAAUAGCUGGAGGAAGGAGGGGAGUGAUGUCAAGUCCUCAUGGCCCUUAUGUCCGGGGCUACACACAUGCUACAGUGCCCAGUACAAUGGGUCGCCAACCCGCAAGGGGGAGCCAAUCCCAUCAAAACGGGGCAUGGUUCGGAUUGCAGGCUGCAAUUCGCCUGCAUGAAGCCGGAAUCGCUAGUAAUCGCGGGUCAGCCACACCGCGGUGAAUACGUUCCCGGGCCUU